rnacentral:rRNA from 1 species
UUUUUGGAGAGUUUGAUCCUGGCUCAGGACGAACGCUGGCGGCGUGCUUAACACAUGCAAGUCGAACGGAGGUUAAAUGAAAGCUUGCUGAUUUUAACCUUAGUGGCGGACGGGUGAGUAACGCGUGGAUAACCUGCCCAGUAGAUCGGGAUAACGCCGGGAAACUGGUGCUAAUACCGGAUACGCUCCUUGAACGGCAUCGUUUGAGGAGGAAAAGGGAAACCUGCUAUUGGAUGGGUCCGCGUCCCAUUAGCUAGUUGGUGGGGUAAUAGCCUACCAAGGCGACGAUGGGUAGCCGGCCUGAGAGGGUGGACGGCCACACUGGGACUGAGAUACGGCCCAGACUCCUACGGGAGGCAGCAGUGGGGAA